GAGUUUUCAAUUUGUAGGGCAAACUUAUAUAGUUGGUCUAUUUUUGUAAUUUUAAUAAAGUUUUCUUCAUAAAUUUUUUAAAAUUUAAAGUAUAAAAUGUAAAAAAAUUAAAAUAAAAAUUAGUAGGAUAAAUUGUAAUUUUAGUAGAGGUAUCUUCAUAAAUUCUAAAAAAAUUAAAAUCUAAAAUAAAAAUAUAAAAAAUCCGGUGAGGAGAUGCCCCCACUGGUCCUAGGUCUGUGCCUACCUGGAAUGGAACCUUCCAAGGUCAUUCUUUGAUCCAUUGGAGAACCACCUCUUCUGCUCCUUCGACUCAUUCAUUGCCCUGUGCAGCUGUGUUGUGGGUGAUUGCACUACAAGAAAAGAUAUAUGGGUCUAGCAGCAAACAUUAAAAAAUGCUGUUAAAAAAUCAUUUUUAAAAACACUUUAUAAAAAAUGCCGCCGGAAGUUAAAAAAAAAUGCCGCCGACAUUUUUCAUUUUAAUUAUUCAUUUUUUAUUUUUCUUUUUUCAUUUUUCAUUUUUCAAUUUCCAAUCACUCCUCACUUUCUCUCGCUACCCCCAAUCCUCUCUCAUCGCUCCUCACUUUCUCUCUCAUCGCUCCUCGCUUUCUCGCUCUAACCCACUCAUUUCUCUCUCUAUCUCGACUCAGACUGGUCUCUCCUCUCUCCUCGUUCUUCAAUGGAGAGCUUGAUCUACCAAAAUUAUACUGCGAACACAGUCCCGGUUGGAGUUUGAUUUGGGAGCCAAAUCCGUAUUUGAUUUGCCAAAACAGGCCAACAAUUAUCGACGUUAUCUCCAUUUUUGUCCACUGCAGGUUGGUUCCCCUAAGAGAGGUAAAAGUGACGCUUUGAUAAGUUUUUGAAGAUCAAAGUACGCCGUUGCCGGGGACUGUCAUUUUGGCAAGUCAAGUAAUCCACGGAACUCGUAACGCUUGAUGCACAAAGCCCAAGGAAGAAGAGUAGCAUCAGCAGUCCGUGCAAAAGGAGGUUCAAGAGCAUAUAUUUUCAGAGCAGACCCAAGAAGUUACGGGCGCUCGCAAGAAAUCUGCGAGCGCCCGCCAAAGUCUCCAAUAGCAUAUAGCCAGUGUGGGCCCCUGCCAUCAAGCAUCGCAGGCGCCCUCCAAGCCCUCACGGGCGCCUGCCCUGCGCCUACGAGCGCCCGCCAAUUUGCAGACAACUCUGCAUUGUUUGGUUCAAGGCUAUCCCCUUGACCCAUUUUUGUGGUCCUGAUUCCUCCUAGGGGUGGGUAGCCCCGAAAAUAAAGGAAAAAUGAUUUUUUCUCUGGCUAAAAGGGGGGGUUUGGAGUCUUAGGAGAGGGUUAGCAAACUUCUAAAGAGAGAAAUAUUGUAAGGUGAGGGGUUGUGCGUUCUUGAUCUCAAAGGGCGAAAAUGGUGGAGAUAAUGAUCAACUCUCCUUUAUCCAUUGCUCCUAUGGGUAACUAACUCCCUAUCUAGGGAGGUGAUGAAGCCCUUUCUAGUAAGCAUGUUCUAGUCUUGGUUUAUUUUGGGGAAAAUGAUGUAUAUAUGUGAUUGCUCCAUAAUCCAGAGCUUACACUUGAUGUAAUGAACUGAAUUUGAUAUAAAUGAUCAUGUUGAAUCUAUUAUCUUGUCUUAGAA